ensembl:lncRNA
AAUCUUUGGAGGUUUCAGUAUAGCUCUAAUAAUACUCUUUCAGAAUAUUUCAGACAUACUUUCUCAUACACUAUAGCCCUACUGGGACAAUGAAAUGGUAUUUCAGAGUAUAAGAAGUUGCUAUUAUUGUUUUUUUGUGUGUUUUACAAUGGAGACAGGCUGGUAGUAUUUCCUGUAUGUAGGAUUAUAGAACAUGGAAUAUCAAGAGUAUUUGGUACAUUCCCAGCUGAGGUUUAUUAAAUGCUCAGAGUAAUUCUGAGAAUGUUUAUGUUGUUAUUUUUUUCUCCCUAAAAUCUGUUUUCUUAUCCUUAGCUAGCAACAUGUUUAAGGUUAAUGUUGGGGCAUUGACAUAAUCACAAGAGUAUAAAAAGCAUCAACAAAGGAUGCUUUCCCUUUGGCUUACCCAAACCAGAACCUUAGGGGAGCAAGGGAGCCUCUGUCACUUCUCAGGACAGAGAGCUGGUGGGACAAGGGUAGGGGGGGAACUAGAGGAACAAACAGAAAAUAUCCAUCACAGUUUCUAAGACAAUGUGUAUUUGUAUAUAGUGCACAUAUAAUAUGUAUAUAUGUGCAUAUUUCUAUAUAAAUUUUCUAUUCCAAUAUUUUCAUAAGUUUCUACAGAAAGAAAUUUAGUUUUAAAAUGUAACUGGAAUGAAAAAUGAAGUCUUAAAGUCACUUAAAGUGUAUUUCCAGCAUUACUGUUCCCUGGUUUAAAACAGGGAUGAACAUAGUUCGUUUUCUACUUAAUCCAGAAAAGCCAUUCCAAGCAGAGUAGGAAGUGUUAAAGAGCCGAUGGAUAGGAUUGAUAAUACUACCUCCCAGGUAGAAAUGAAGGCAAAACUAUCCCUCAGCCUUUAUUACCAGAUGCUUCUAAUCUGUGCCAAUAAUUUCUGUUCAUAAAUAGAUAAUAUUGAAUUAUCUUUUUAGAUUAAUAAAUUUAUGCCUAAACCAGUCAUUUAAUUCUCUUGGUAAUUUGUUGCUAGGGGACCAUUUAAAAUUUCUUUCCUGGGAGUUCCCGUCGUGGCACAGUGGUUAACGAAUCCGACUAGGAACCAUGAGGUUGCAGGUUCGGUCCCUGCCCUUGCUCAGUGGGUUAACGAUCCGGCAUUGCUGUGAGCUGUGGUGUAGGUUGCAGACGCGGCUCGGAUCCCGCAUUGCUGUGGCUCUGGCGUAGGCCGGUGGCUACAGUUCCGAUUCGACCCCUAGCCUGGGAACCUCCAUAUGCCGCAGGAGCUGCCCAAGAAAUAGCAACAACAGACAACAGACAAAAAUUUUUCUUUCCUGGAGUCUUGAGAAGGAAGCUCACUUGCCUCACAGCAUUGGGUUAAUUCUCUGUUAGGUACACAAGGGAUAUGAUUAACCCUGGUUUGACAGUUCGCUCUUGGUAGCUAAUAAGUAUUUAUUCAGGACAUGAGAAAACAUAGCUCUUAUUAAAUUGAAAGGCUCCUGGAAAGUUUUUGAAACUACUCCCCUCAAAAAAAGUAUGUUCAAUAAAUUCACAUAGGAGAAGGGAGUUCCCACCAUGGCUCAGCGGUAACGAACCCAGCUAGUAUCCACGAAGAUGAGGAAUCCAUCCUUGGCCUCACUCUAUGAGGAUGUGGAUUUGAUCCCUGGCCUUGCUCAGUGGGUUAGGAUCUGGCAUUGCUCUGAGCUGUGGUAUGGAUCGCAGACUGGGCUCGUAUCCCACAUUGCUGUGGCUGUGGCAUAGGCUGGCAGCUGCAGCUCUGAAUUGGCCCCCAGCCUGGGAAUUUACAGAUGCCCCAGGUGUGGCCCUAAAAAAAAAAAAAGAAAAAA